AAUUUUGCUAGAAAAGCCAGCCUCAGUAGGAAAACAUCCCACCAUCGUCAAGCUUAAUUCCUCUUCGGCUUUUGGUGAUAACUAAUGCUGUGGAACAUAGGAACAAAUAACAAAUGCUCUGGGAAUAGAGAAACAUACCACGGAGACUUGAACGCAAGUUACAGGUCGUGAGCAGCAGUAGCCGAGGAGCGGACAUCGGAGACCUGGGCAGCUUAUCAUUGAUCAUGUAUAAUUAUUUCAUCGGUGGUAGACUUUUACGGUUUGUAAUAAUGUGAUACUACCACUGUUUAUGUAUAAUUAUAACUGGAAUAAUGUACCGUAUAUGUAUGCACGAGUGUUUUCUUCCGCUAAACUCUGACAAGAAAAGUUUUAAAUUCCCGCGGAUUUUUGAAAAAUGUGAUUUUACUUUACUUGUCCAUGUGACGCAACUCUAUUACGGGAUGCGGGUUACGGGC